ACACUCCUGCGGGAGGCAGCAGUGGGGAAUUUUGGACAAUGGGGGCAACCCUGAUCCAGCAAUGCCGCGUGAGUGAAGAAGGCCUUCGGGUUGUAAAGCUCUUUUGUCAGGGAAGAAACGGUAGUAGCGAAUAACUAUUACUAAUGACGGUACCUGAAGAAUAAGCACCGGCUAACUACGUGCCAGCAGCCGCGGUAAUACGUAGGGUGCAAGCGUUAAUCGGAAUUACUGGGCGUAAAGCGUGCGCAGGCGGUUGUGUAAGUCAGAUGUGAAAUCCCCGGGCUCAACCUGGGAAUUGCAUUUGAGACUGCACGGCUAGAGUGUGUCAGAGGGGGGUAGAAUUCCACGUGUAGCAGUGAAAUGCGUAGAUAUGUGGAGGAAUACCGAUGGCGAAGGCAGCCCCCUGGGAUAACACUGACGCUCAUGCACGAAAGCGUGGGGAGCAAACAGGAUUAGAAACCCCAGUAGUCCCAUGAU
rnacentral:rRNA from 1 species